UGGGGAAUUUUGGACAAUGGGCGAAAGCCUGAUCCAGCAAUGCCGCGUGUGUGAAGAAGGCCUUCGGGUUGUAAAGCACUUUUGUCCGGAAAGAAAUCCGCCUGGCUAAUACCCGGGCGGGAUGACGGUACCGGAAGAAUAAGCACCGGCUAACUACGUGCCAGCAGCCGCGGUAAUACGUAGGGUGCGAGCGUUAAUCGGAAUUACUGGGCGUAAAGCGUGCGCAGGCGGUUAUGCAAGACAGGUGUGAAAUCCCCGGGCUCAACCUGGGAACUGCACUUGUGACUGCAAGACUAGAGUGCGUCAGAGGGAGGUGGAAUUCCGCGUGUAGCAGUGAAAUGCGUAGAGAUGCGGAGGAACACCGAUGGCGAAGGCAGCCUCCUGGGAUGACACUGACGCUCAUGCACGAAAGCGUGGGGAGCAAACA
rnacentral:rRNA from 1 species